AUUGCAGCAACUGGUGUCUCAAUAUACUUUUACUACUUAGCAUACUGUGAGGACGCCAGGGAAAGAGUGUGCUUAUUGCCCAAGGAAAUUUUUCAUGAAGUUGUUAGUUCCUGAGUCACGUUUUUGAAAAGAACGUGGUUGGUUUGAUUUUAAAUUUCAUCGACAAUAUUGGAAACAAAACGUUCAUCGCGGUUAGCCUUUGAAGCUCUGAAA